rnacentral:rRNA from 1 species
AUUGAACGCUGGCGGCAUGCCUAACACAUGCAAGUCGAACGGUUUUGAAGGGCUUGCUCUUCAAGAUAGUGGCGGACGGGUGCGUAACGCGUAGGAAUCUAGCUCGUAGCGGGGGACAACUUGGGGAAACCCGAGCUAAUACCGCAUAAGCCCUGAGGGGGAAAGCGUGGGACUGUCAAAGGCCACGCACUAUGAGAUGAGCCUGCGUCGGAUUAGCUAGUUGGUGAGGUAAAGGCUCACCAAGGCGAUGAUCCGUAGCUGGUCUGAGAGGAUGAUCAGCCACACUGGGACUGAGACACGGCCCAGACUCCUACGGGAGGCAGCAGUGGGGAAUAUUGCGCAAUGGGCGAAAGCCUGACGCAGCGACGCCGCGUGAGGGAUGACGGCCU